rnacentral:rRNA from 1 species
GUGCCAGCAGCCGCGGUAAUACGGAGGUUGCAAGCGUUGUUCGGAUUUACUGGGCGUAAAGGGAGCGCAGGCGGCCAAGUUAGUCCAAAGUGAAAUCCCGGGGCUCAACCUCGGACGUGCUUUGGAUACUGCUUGGCUUGAGUACGUGAGAGGUAAGCGGAAUUCCAGGUGUAGCGGUGAAAUGCGUAGAUAUCUGGAGGAACACCGGUGGCGAAAGCGGCUUACUGGCACGAGACUGACGCUGAGGCUCGAAAGCGUGGGGAGCGAACGGGAUUAGAUACCCCCGUAGUCC